rnacentral:lncRNA from 7 species
UUCAGUCCCUGGCUGGAGCUGAAUAACCAACCACUGUAAAUUGAUACUAUCUUAUCUGUAUCAGAGGAUUCUGUCUGGAGGAUGUUAUGUAAAAGAAAAUGAUGAUUUGUUAUAUAAGGCAUAUUAUGGGGAGCGUUCAGCCAUACUGUGAGGCUCCUUCUCCUUCCAUUCCCAAUGCACAUUUUGGCCGUUAUACCGAAUUGGCAUAUAACCAGUUCACUGGAAUUAGAUCACAUUUACUGUGGUAUUUGGGAAGACUGCCAGUUUGUGGAGCUCUGGUGAAGCUUGCAAUCCAUAGUUCUGAGGCUACAAAGAAGAAUUUCAGCAAAAAUAUGGAAUGUCAGAGUUGACGUUCUGGAACGAUGCAGGAGAAAGGAUAAACAAACAAAACCAGCCCCCACAUUCUGUGAAGGAACGUUCUGUAUUGUUAUCAAGGGGAAUGUCAUGAAAUGGCAUGGAAGAGCAAGCAGUAUGAAUUUCUGAAUACUGUGUUUUUUGUUUUUAAUGUUGGAUAAUGUGUGUGCAUGAAUAAAAAAGUGAAGAGGAUGAAGGAAAAUUAAAUGUCAUGUUCUAAGAAGAGAGUUAAUCAGUAAAGCAUCUAUAUGUGAUGCAAUCUAACCUAAAGGCUGUUGGUGCUCUGUUAAGCUGAACACAGUCUCCCAGGUCUCUCUAUGCACAGUGAACUCUACAAUCAAUGCAUUCUUCCAAAAUGUGAUUAAAUAUUACCAAGAGGCUGCUCUGCACUGCCCCCAGAAGAGUUCUCCUUUGCAUCAACCACAUAUUAUUGUUGCCAGAUAGUUCAAAGAAUAUAUCUGCUUUUAUGCUUUCAAAGAAUGAUAAUUCUGCUGAAGCUUUUGGAGAGAACUAAGGCCGCUACGGAAGGAGAUCCAGAUGUUGCUUUUAUUAAAAUCUCAGCUUGCCUGUACAUGAUAUCAAGACUUUAUAUUGGACUACAAAAAAAUUACAGGAUGGAUUCUCAAAAGCAUUUAAAAAAUUUAGGCACUUAAAUCCUGCUUCCAAAAUUGAGUUGAAAGUGGGAUUUAUACAAUGAAUUGGUGAUAUCCAGAAGUGUGGUAUGUCUGAAUUCAAGGCAGAGAAACGAGUACUUCUUAGGAUGUUUUGUUUCAUCCUAAAGGUGAUGUGAAAAAUAUGUCAGGUUUGUCUUCCUGUCCAUGGAGUGUGGUGGGAAUUUUAGCUAACUAUCUCAGGUGCUUUCUUCAGGAACCUAAUCCAGCAGGAUGAUUUGUACAUGUGGUCAUGCAGGGCUUUGUUUAGGUCUUAGUUUUGCCUAUGAGAAUUAAUUGUCUCUUGGCACCUCUUAAAGCUUCAAUUUGUCUAGAAGGAAACAUUAUGCAAAAGACAUAGACAAUUUGUAAGUAAUAUGGCCUGUAGCUGUAGACCUAAUUCUUGCAGGAAGUGUAAAGGACUGGGGUUUUCAGUCACUUUCAGAAUGCUUACUUCCAGUGCUGUUGGAAAAGACGCUGCUUCAAAUAAUAAAACAGCACUUCAGUUUUGUGAAAUAAAAGUCUUCAUUACAAUGACAGUUGAGAUUUUGUACGUGUUUCUGGGACGUCUCUUCACGUCUGCUGCUGAAUCUUUAAGAGAAAAAAAAAGGUCAAGAAGGGAAGAAUUCAAUUCUGCCUGCAGGAGUCACAUCUCAAUUUUUUUUCCAUCAGAUGGAAAAGGUCAGAGGACCACAAGUGUGCAUUUUUUUUUGCCAAUGGAGACAAGAGGUCCAUGAGAAUUUCUGAAAAUAGAAAUUGUAAUGCAAAUCUUAAUGU